rnacentral:rRNA from 1 species
AGGUAAGGGAACGUCGGCAAAUUAGAUCCGUAACUUCGGGAUAAGGAUUGGCUCUGAAGAUUGAGAUAGUCGGGCUUGAUUGGGAAGCAAUAAUAUGGUUUAUGUACUCGUUCUGGGUAAAUUAGAAUGAAAUUUAUAUAUUUUUUUUUUAAAAUUUAUAUAUAAAUGGAAUUUGUUCCCCGGAUAGUAGUUUACUUAACCAAUUGCGGAACUUUCUUGCUAAUAAUAUAUUAUUAAUAAAAAUGUAAAUUUUUAUUUUUAUAUGUUAAAAACGGCUAUCAAUUAACAAUCAAUUCAAAACUGGCACGGACUUGGGGAAUCCGACUGUCUAAUUAAAACAAACCAUUGUGAUGGCCCUAACGGGUGUUGACACAAUGUGAUUUCUGCCCAGUGCCCUGAAUGUCAAAGUGAAAAAAUUCAAGUAAGCGCGGGUCAACGGGGGGAGUAACUAUGACCCCCUUAAGGUAGCCAAAUGCCUCGUCAUCUAAUUAGUGACGCGCAUGAAUGUUAACGAAAUUCCUACUGUCCCUACUACUACCUAGCGAAACCACAGCCAAGGGAACGGGCUUGGAAAAAAUGUGGGGAAAGAAGACCCUUUUGAGCUUGACUUUAAUCUGGCAUUGUAAGGAAACAUAAGAGGUGUACCAUAAGUGGGAGAUAAAAAAAUUUUUUAUAAUUUUUUUUUAUCAAAAAUGAAAUACCACUACUCUUAUUGUUUCCUUACUUACUUGAUAAAGUGGAACGUGUAUCAUUUACUUAGCCCUUACACGGGUAUUAAUUUAUAUUUUUAUAUAUAUUGUAUUUUAUGGGAUUUUGUUUUGAAACAAGCUUCUUGAUCAAAAUACAAAGAGUUUGUUAUAUACACCAAACAAACUUUCCAAAAAUUUUUUAAAAAAUAAUUUUUUUUAAUUAUUUAAAAAAAAUAUUUAUAAAAAAAGUAAUUGAAUUUUGGUAUAACUCUUACACUCUGGUAUGAUCCAUUUCAAGGACAUUGCCAGGUGGAAAGUUUGACUGGGGCGGUACAUCUCUCAAAUAAUAACGGAGGUGUCCCAAAGCCAGCUCAGUGCGGACAGAAACCACACAUAGAGCAAAAGGGCAAAUGCUGACUUGAUCUCGGUAUUCAGUACAUACAGAGAAUGCAAAAGCACGGCCUAUCGAUCCUUUUGGUUUAAUGAGUUUUUAUCAAGAGGUGUCAGAAAAGUUACCAUAGGGAUAACUGGCUUGUGGCGGCCAAGCGUUCAUAGCGACGUCGCUUUUUGAUCCUUCGAUGUCGGCUCUUCCUAUCAUUGUGAAGCAAAAUUCACCAAGCGUUGGAUUGUUCACCCAUUCAAGGGAACGUGAGCUGGGUUUAGACCGUCGUGAGACAGGUUAGUUUUACCCUUCUGAUGAAUAAUGUUAUUGCGACAGCAUUUCUGCGUAGUACGAGAGGAACCGCAGGUACGGACCAAUGGCACAAUACUUGUUCGAGCGAACAGUGGUAUGACGCUACGUCCGCCGGAUUAUGCCUGAACGCCUCUAAGGUCGUAUCCAAGCUGGACAGCAAUGAUAGUAAUGGGGUCAUUGCAUUACGCGGCUAUAUAUCAUUUAAAGUUUGUAAAAUUAUUUUAUAUAAUUUUAUAAACGACAAUGACUAUUGAAGCCAAAAUAUAUAAUAAAAGGUUUAUAUGAGUUGUAUUUAAAAGCGCUCAUAAAUAAACUUUGUUAUGUAAAUAACUAUUAUAUUUUGCGUAACGACAAUGCUCAGAAUCAAUUGUAAACGACUUUGGUAACGGGCAAGGUGUUG